rnacentral:misc_RNA from 1 species
UGGGCUUGACAUGUUGGUGACCGGUGUGGAAACACACCUUUCCUUCGGGACACCAUCACAGGUGGUGCAUGGCUGUCGUCAGCUCGUGUCGUGAGAUGUUGGGUUAAGUCCCGUAACGAGCGCAACCCCUGUCCCAUGUUGCCAGCAUUAAGUUGGGGACUCAUGGGAGACUGCCGGUGACAAACCGGAGGAAGGUGGGGAUGACGUAGACCUUGGACC